CCUACGGGGGACAGCAGUGAGGAAUAUUGGUCAAUGGACGAGAGUCUGAACCAGCCAAGUAGCGUGAAGGAUGACUGCCCUAUGGGUUGUAAACUUCUUUUAUAUGGGAAUAAAACGUUCCACGUGUGGGAUUUUGUAUGUACCAUAUGAAUAAGGAUCGGCUAACUCCGUGCCAGCAGCCGCGGUAAUACGGAGGAUCCGAGCGUUAUCCGGAUUUAUUGGGUUUAAAGGGAGCGUAGGUGGAUUGUUAAGUCAGUUGUGAAAGUUUGCGGCUCAACCGUAAAAUUGCAGUUGAAACUGGCAGUCUUGAGUGCAGUAGAGGUGGGCGGAAUUCGUGGUGUAGCGGUGAAAUGCUUAGAUAUCACGAAGAACUCCGAUUGCGAAGGCAGUUCACUGGACUGCAACUGACACUGAGGCUCGAAAGUGUGGGUAUCAAACAGGAUUAGAUACCCUGGUAGUC
rnacentral:rRNA from 1 species